CUUCAGUGAUGAUACGAUGACGAGUCCGAAUGGGGCAUGUCCUACUACAGGUGUCCUGGCCCAGAGGCACGUUCUGUGUCCCUGAGUUCAGGCUCCUGUGUAGUGUGUCCCUAUCUAUUGAUGACAUAGAGGCAUUUGUCUGAGAAGG